UAUUCCAUAGGCUCAUGCCUUUUUUAGAAUUUAAGAGAAUACUAGAAUUUCAAGAGAUUAUCAAGGAGAUUUUUAAAAGCUACAUGUCUAUCUUGUAUCUCAAACAAAAUAGUAGACUUAAAGUUAAAAAAGAAAUUGCUGUGGCAUACUGAUGGAAUAGCUUGCUUCCUUUUGUUACUAGCAUUCUCUGUUGAAUGCUCUGUUCUGUUGUGUAUAGUUUGAAAGAGUUGUUUGUGCUAUGAGUAGUUGAUGCUUGUUGCACCUACCUACCCAUAUUACUUUUUUACUGUAUUUAUGGGUAAUUGUUAGAUGUUCAAAAGGUAAAAGAGAAUUUUAGCAUUAAUGCUGAACUCAUCAUAGGCUUGUUACUCCUUUAUAUAAGUACUAUGGGGUAGAGAGGGUUUGUAGUGCUGAGAUUUAAAAUAAAGUUGACAAUUAGACAAUAUGAUGAAAUAGUUUAGACCCUGAAGGUAUAUUUAAUGCCUAGCCUCUGUGCAAAGGACAGUAGGUUUAAAAAUUGAACUUUCAGCAAAGCAUGUGCGCUUGUUUUUGUGAACCAGUGUCAUGACACUGACUUUAGAAGGAUACUAACUCAGGAAAUUCAAACAGCUUUCCCUUUCACUAGCUAAAAGAAAAUAUGGAACCAGAUUCACCUCUGCAAAUGCAGGAAGAGAUGCAAGUUGUACACACUUGUGUAGGAGUAAUUGUCUAGAAAAGGGAUCAGCCUCUGGGAAGGGUAGUGCUGGUACUGUUGUCACUGACCACUGGGGUGCCAUUUGGAGAAGACAUUUUGAAAAUGUUGCUGGUGAUCUAUAGAAGUCUUAUCAGAAGCUGCUUAGGAAAUAUAUUGAAUCAGUUCCAAGCAGGCUUACCCUAUGGGCUUGCAUCCAUUGAUAUAUCCAAAGAUGUGAGCCUGGGACAUUGGCUCUGAAUUUGGUCUUUCUAGCUCUUCUGUUUUGAAAACAUAAAUGGUCUCUUUUGGUAUUUCCCUAAUCGAUUCAAGUAGGCAUGGGGUUGUGUGAUAAACAUCAAUCUUACACCACUCAAAAUAUGCAAUGACCAUAAACACAUCACACUUGCAAUCACCUAUCAAAUGGUUCAGACAUGGUGCCACAUUUUUGUUAGAAGGAAUCUCAAGAGGCAUCCGGUUUCCUGAGUAAAGUAUCUCCAUACUUAAUUAGACUCCAUCAGUUUGAACUUCAUGGAGAAACAUGUUUGAAAACUCUAGUUUUUAUUAAUUAGUCUUUUAAUUGUGUUUCCUGAAAUUUAUUAAAAUUUUUAACAUUUUUAAUAAAGACUUUUCUUGUCCUGACUCUGUUAUUAAGGGGCUUUGCUUAUACAAAGGAAACAGUGAAACUGACUAUACUCAAGGGAACUGGAUCUAACUUUAAUUGGAGUCAAUGGAGAGUCUGCCACUGACUUCAGUGGGAGUUGGAUCAGAUCCAAAGUUCUGUCAAAUGUAAACAAAGUAAACAAACUGUAAAAAAGAGGCAUUUUUUCACCGGAGUCUCUUCCAGUUACAGUAGUAAUAGAAGUCACACCAUAAUAGAUCCUAAAUUUUCACACAGAAGUGAUUUUUGUAGUUGGCAUUGUCCUUUUAAAUACACACUUAGGGAGAGAAAUUUCAAUGAGGUUUAUUAGAAGGGCUACUGUAUUCUCAGCCAAGACACUUUUCUAGUUUGAGAUGAGACUAAAUCAAAACAUUAAGAUGAAACCAUAUGUCUCAUCUUAGUCUUUUCAAAGUCACCAUUGCAGCCAAAAUCAAGAGAAUUGAUUUUUUUAUGUUUAGUAGAUGUCUUAAAUUAAAAAGGUCUGCUUGUUUAUUAGUAUUAGUUUGUUACCCUUACUAGUAUCACACUACUUCCAUUCACACUACUUCCAUUUUUUAAAAACCUGACAAAUCUUAAGCAAUAAUUGGAUUAUGAGAAGCAUAAGUAUAAGUGUCUUGCACUAGCUAUAUUUCUGAUUAAGUUUAAAUCUCAUCUAAUCAUAGGGAUGGUCCCUAUCAGAGUGCCACAUGAUCUGUAAUGUAUAUAUUCUUACAUCCCUGUGAAACAGGGAAAUAUUUUUCCCCAUUUUACAGAUGGGGAACAGAGGCACAGAAAGGCUAAGUGACUUGCCCAAGAUCACCCAUGAAGUCUGAGGCAGAGUAGGGACUUGAACCUAGGUAUGUGUUUAUACUCUGCAAAGUGAGAUUCUCUCCAUGUGGAUUGUUUCUCAGUGAGUUAAUUGCCCAAUUUACACAUGUGAUUUUUUUUUCUAAUUGUUGAAUAAGAAAAUAUCAAUCUUAGUCACCUUUCUAACCAUAAAUGCACUUCAAAUUUUCAACUAUAUUUUUGUAUUUUAUUUUUUUUGUUAUAGAUUAUCCUAUGCAUAAAGAUAAUGCAGAAUCUCUUUGAGUGGUCUACAUUUUGUUUAUAUAAAGGAAUCUGGUGUAUGGAAGUUAAUGAUGGCCUCUGUCAAUAUAUCACAGAGGAACACACGUUUUCUGUAGUGAUGCUGUCAAGAGACUGCCCAAGGACUAUUUCUGUGUUCAGCCUGUCUUCUACUGCAGUAUUUGUGAGUGAUUAGGGCAGGGCAAAGGUUUCAUUGGGUCAGAGAAAUUGUUCUCAAACAACUGAAAGCCUAAGGCAGAGUUGGCUGUUAUUUUUUUAAUUUGCAUCAAGAAAAAAAAAAGAUGUUAAAACUUUUAUCAGUUUUAGUUAGCGUAAGUAAUUUAAUUUAGAAAUAAUUUUCUCCCAACAAUUUUCUUGUUCUACAAUUUGGAAACAUAUUCUUUUCAUUUCUUCAAUUAGUUCAUUCUUUGUUCAUAAUCGUUUGCGUAUUAUACAGUGAAUGGAGAUUUGGGAGUCUUCAGAAGCAUUGAGCUAAAGCACAGUGAAGUUAAAUAAGGCACAAGAAAAUAUUGAUUCAAAGGUGUAGCCAAUUGUUUUACUGCAGUUGCUGUUCAUUGUUUAAAAUGUUCGAGACCAAUUAACCUAACUUAGCCAAAUUUAUUGUUUAAAAACAAAGAAGUACAAGACAAAAAGGAGACAGACAUACAAAUACUCACAGCAUGUUCACCAUACACUGAUUGCAUGCUUCAGAGAUGAGUAUUUCAGCUAGCAGUAUUUAUUGGAUGAUUUUACAAGUUACAAAACUCUUUACAUAUCACAGAAAAUGGGGGGAGGGAUAGCUCAGUGGUUUGAGCAUUGGCCUGUUAAACCCAGGGUUGUGAGUUCAAUCCUUAAGGGGGCCACUUAGGAAGCCAGGGCAAAAAUCAGUACUUGGUCCUGCUAGUGAAGGCAGGUGGCUGAACUUGAUGACCUUUCAAGGUCCCUUCCAGUUCUAGGAGAUUGGUAUAUCUCCAGUUAUUACUUUUUACUUAUACCAGUUCCUUAGCUUGUUGUUCUGUACUUUCCUUAUUUUUUGUUUGGCCACUAGCAUUCCAGGUACUCGUCCAUAAAGGUACCUCCCUGUACUUUCCCAUAUCUCAUCUGAAUAUUCCAUUCCAAGUACUGAUGAGCCAUGAAAGUUUCCCCUAACUGUACUUGGUACAAAGUAUCCUUGCAUCUUUGCUUUGGCAAGUUUCCUGUUUUCUAAUACCAAAGCUGACUUCAGGUUUUCAAAGUGUUGUGGGAUAUAUUAUGUGGGUGAACAGAAUUGUAGGAAGAGCAUACUACUUUCAGUUAACAUAACUUCCCUACACUUUUUUAUUAAUACCACGCACAUAAUGCCUUUGAACGUGGUGCAUGCUAUGCCUAACAUAGAUGUAUUGGCUUACAAAUGCUAAUGAGACAUACAGGAAGUGAUUGAAGUAAAUUGGUUGGCUAUAUUCUAAUGGGUAAUAAUUGUAUAAAAGCAAUCUGUGUGGUAUAUUAAACUACUGACCUCUAGAAUCAAUCCUAAGAAUUAUGAGCCUAACUGUAAAUCUGUUUUACAAACUUUAUCCUGAAAAAGUGCAUUGUAUAUGUCAUUUGUAUGUUGUGUAUUGUAUUAACCUCCUUAGACUUUGAAUUGCACAUAUAAAAAAUAGGAGUGUGAGCUGUAGCUGCAUGGAACUCACACCCAGCACAGCUGAGGUGGUAAGCCAGCUUUCGUCUUCUAGCAGUGUCCCUGUGGGUGCUCCACGUUAGAUGUUUUGGUGCUCAGCAUUUGUAAUGAGAGAUUUGUAGUAGCAGUGCCCCGGUUGGCCACGCAUGCAUGGCAACCAUCUCACACUGCUUCGAGCGGUUACCUAGUGUGCACAGCCAACCGUCCUCCAGUUCCUUCUCUACCACCUUUGGCUUGAGUCAGAGCGACAGCAACGCCUCUCUUAAUCUUACAUACCUCAGCAGUUUUCUGUUUUCCCAGACUUAUUAGACUUUCAUGUAAUUAUUUAUCCUCUAGUUUAUAUUUUACUUAAAAUCUUUCAAAAAAAACCCACUUUUGUUAGCCAUUCCCCACCUGCACCUCCUAGGCAGGUCACCGGCUUCGACAGCAAGAACAGAGACCUAAAUAUGGACUUAUUCUCCUUUCUCAAAAUAAGUACCCUCUCAGGCAUGCCUGGCUCUCCCUGCUUUAAAGGCUGCCUGACUUGCAGACUUUCAAUCCCCGUAGCGGACAGCCACACACAGUGUGUCUGCUGCUUCAGUGAGACCCAUAUUACUCAGAAGUGUCCACUGCAAAAAAUUGUGUGCUACACCAAGGAAGGCUAGGGACCUCCAGUUGAAACUCCUCAUGAUGGAGAAAUCCCUCAGGCCAGCCUCUAACCCUGAGUCGAGAAUGCCUCCUGGCCACCCGGUCACCAGCAGCAGCAUCUGAUGGAAUUUACCUCAAAAACGUUUGCUAAAGAGCCUGUUCCCAAAAGGGCUACUAAAAAGCGGUCUCACUCUUCCCCACAGCAAGAUUUGCCCAAAAGAAAGCAAUCUCCCAGUGGAAAAUCUGCCCUGUUACCAACGGCACUGAAAGCAUUGGACCGCAAGGCACCGGGAACAUCCAGUACCAAGACUUCUCAAAGAUCUAAGGACCCAGUGUGGGCAAGCUCUCAUGGAGCAUGCUGACAUCCCUAUCACUGAGUCUCCCGGUACCGCAGCAAUUUAUGCGACAGGUGAACCUCAUGAUUACUUCAAUGUCUGGCACACUCCUAUUCAGUACCAACGGUACCCCAACAAGACUGGGACCAAGCCUGGUGGCUACUCCCAUUGGCUCGGCUACUCCCAACUAAAGCGAUGAGGAAGAAGAGGAUGAGGCAGGGACAUGUACCCUUCACCACUCCUCCCCUAAGCCAGGACCUUCUCAGCAUUACACAUCUGCUGACAUGCGACUCUGGCAGGCUUAACCAUGAGUGCCACCUCCCAUGACUUUUCUACCCAACUGGAUAUUCUGGGAUCCGUGGGCAUUAUAUAGGGCUCAGAACCUCAGACCCCCCUCCCCCAUUUCAUCAAGGUCUAGAACAAUAUGAUCCCCUUCACCACCUGCCCCAGCUCCAUCAGAAAUGCAGGAGGAGAUAGAGGAACCCGAACACGCGCCCAAGGGAGAUACCCUGCCGCCCACUCACAUUUCAUCUUCACCGCAUGAAACAAUAAUACCAUCCCACACACACAUCGGGAUGAUUUCAGAUCCUUCAAGGAUCUGUUCAAGAGGGUAGCUGAAUCCCUCGACAUUUCCUUAGCAGACCUACCAGAAACCCAGCACAAGCUUACAGACAUCCUCCAGGCAUCUGCAUCAGCCAAAAUUGCACUGCCUAUCAAUGCUGCCAUAAUGGACCCUGCAAUAAUAAUCAGGCAGACACCUGCCACACCCCUGCCUUCUUGUAAGACAUCUGACAAGAUGUGUUAUGUGCCAGCUAAAGGGGCCAAGUUUCUGUUCACUCACCCUGCACCGAACUCAUUGGUGGUCGAGGCUGUUACUCAAAGGGGAAAAGAGUACCAGUCUAGAACCAACCCUUACGAUAAGGACUGGAAAAGGCUAGACCAGUGGGUCUCAUACUUUUGUACUGGUGACCCCUUUCACAUACCAAGUCUCUGAUUGUGAAACCCCGACCCCUUAUAAAUUAAAAACACUUUUUUAUAUAUUUAAUACCAUUAUAAAUGCUGGCGGCAAAGCAGGGUUUGGAGUGGAGGCUGACAACUCACAACCCCCCAUGUAAUAACCUCACGACCCCCUGAGGGGUCCCUACCCCCAGUUUGAGAACCUCUGGGCUAGACCUGUUCAGGUAGAAAGCCUAUUCCUCAGUCACGCUCUAAUUUCACAUAGCUAAUUAUUCAGCGUUUCUACCUAAAUACAUACACAACCUGUUCAAUAAAAGUUGACAUUUUAGAGAACAUUUGCCUGACAACAAAAAAUAACAAUACAAGGCUAAUGUCCCCGAAGGGUGUCUCAUUGCCAAAAUGGCCUUACAGGCCUCUCUCUCGACUCCACAGACACGGCAGCACGCUCCAUCACUACCUCUGCGGUCAUGAGUCAGGCAUCCUGGCUUCACCUUUCCAGGUUCCCUAGGGAGGUCCAGCCACAGUUGAGGAUUUAUGCUCUGAGGGUCAGAAACUUUGCAGAAAACACAGAUGUCUUUACAUACUCUAAAGGACUCCAGGGCCACCUUAAAAUCCCUGCGUAUCUAUGUACCUGUGAAGAAAAAGAAACGGCAGAUUUUACAUCCAGUGAUUCCGAACUGCCCCAUACAUCCAGCCACAAAGACAGUAUGACCAAUGCUGUAAACAGAAACAGAUGAGAUGCAGGCAGAACCAAGAUCAGCCUUCCAUGUCUCAACCAUCUACUUCCAGACAAUCAUUUUGAAGAUUUGGUCGAGGGCAUGAGACCUCCACGUUCUUUGAUCCUGGAACUAAACCCAAUCUCUAGCCCAUUUUGGAGACCGUCUGUCACCAUACAACCCAGUCUGGAACACGGUCACUACAGACAGAUGGGUUUAUUUCUAGGAAGUGGUUUAUUUCCUGUUGUAACAGGGGCUUGUGAGAGGGGUCCCUGAAGAGGGACAGGUAAGGGGGGUUGUGUAGGUGGAAAAGAGAUGAAGGAGAUGGAGUAACCCUUCUGGAUAAUUUACAGAACCGUAGAAGGAGUACUACAUCAAUACAGGGGGAGAGCAUUUUAUUCCCAUUAUUUUCUCACUCAGAAAAAGACCGAUGGAUGGAGACCCAUCCUAGAUUUAGGACAACACAACAAAUUCUUGAGAAAGCAACAUUUCAAAAUGGUGAUUCUUUCCAUGAUAAUUCCGGCAUUAGAGAAGGGAGACUGGCCCUCGGCCCUCGACCUACAAGACGCUUACUUUCAUGUUACCAUUCACCCGGAGCACAGACGAUUCCUGUGAUUCACCCUGAGACACCAACAUUUCCAAUACAGAGUGCUCCCCUUCGGCCUGUCAACCACCCCAAGGGUCUUUUCCAAGGUCCUCACGGUCAUUGCAGCUCACCUCAGAAAACUGGGGGAUGAUGAUUUGUCCAUACCUAGACGACUGUCUUUUAAGGGCACUGACACAAUGUGCAGCACUAAAUGCCACACAAACCACGGUAAUCCUCUUUAAAGAUCUCAGACUACACAUAAAAGUGCAGAAGUCCACCAUGGUUCCUGUCCUAACAACUGGGAUUUAUAGGAACCUCCCUCGAUUUCCUCACCACAACAACGGGGUUACCCCCAACAGUGCUUCCUCACCUUAACCAGUUUGAUUACAAUGAUGACGGACAGUCCACAAACGUCGGCCAGAACGUGCUUACAACUUUUGGGGCACAUGACUGAAACGACACUGUUGUAAAGCCUUCGAGGCUACACAUGAGAUGCUUAUAGGCCUGGUUUUGCAAUGUCUACAUACCACAAAAACAUUCUCUUAACAGACAUCUCACUAUGCCCCGCAGGGUAAAGAAUUUGCUCCACAUGGUAGACACAGGCACAGAACGUCUGCUCAGGUGUCUCCUUCCAACAGAAAGCUCCUACUAAAACGAUCACUAUGGACGUGUCCCUAAUGGGAUGGGGAGCUAUUUACGCAACAACACCAUCCAGGGUCGCUGGUCUACAGUAGAAUCCAACCUACAUAUAAACAUACUGGAACUAAGGCCUGUCAGAAAUGUAUGCGAGCACUUCCUUCUCUUGAUCCAAACCAUGACUGUCACAAUCCUUAUGGACAAUAUCGCAUGCAUGUUCUAUAUAAACCUCCAAGGGGGAAUACAAUCAUACCCACUGUACACAGAGGCAAUAGCCUCUGGAACUGGUGCAUCACCAACAACAUAGACAUUUCAGCAUCGUACCUGCCAGGAUGUCAGAACAUGACAGCAGACCAACUGAGCAGAGACUUUUCACAAACCCACGAGUGGGAGCUGGAUCAUGCACCUCUCACAGCCAUAUUCAACCUCUGGGAGUUCCGCAUUAUAGACCUAUUCACAACUCAGAACGCAGAGCUGGACUGGGACACUACUCCUUGGGCGACACUCUCCUAAUAAAUUGUGAAACACCACUAUUGUAUGCAUUUCCUCCAAUCCCACUCCUGAGUCAGGUCAUUCACAAGAUCAAGCUGAACAAAUCCAGGAUAAUUCUCAUCGCACCCACAUGGCCCGGACAACCCUGGUUCCCAUACCUGGGACAGAUGGCAGUGAAGCCACCUCAAACCCUUCCAAGAAUACCUCACCUUCUGACACAGGACUCAAGAUGCGUCAAUCACCCCAACCUACCCCUUCUCCAUCUCAAGGCCUGGUUACUCCAUGGCUAACGGGGAUUUACAAAGACUAUUCUGAGGAAGUGAAAGAUGUCCUACUGAACAGUUGAAGACUAACCAUAUGAAAAAUAUACAUAUAGCAAUGGACCCGAUUCUGCAUUUGGUGCCAGGACAGCCAUAUUUCUCCCAUGGUCGGCCCCACUACCCAGGAUACUGGACUAUAUAUAGGACCUUAAGAAAUCGAGGUUAUCUAACAGCUCCUUCAGAGUACCCCUGGCCGCCAUCACUUCAUUCCACAAUAAGGUGGACGGAGUCAUUGUCUUUGCUACCCAACUACUAAAUGCUUCCUAAAGGGCAUAGAAAACACUUACCCACUCUAAAAGACUCUGCCCCUACAUGGGAUCUUUCUUAACCUUAUUCUCCGCAGUCUCAUGGGGAAACCGUUUAGACUCCUAGCAACUUUUUCUCUGUUACACUUACCAUGAAGGUGGCCUUCCUCAUUGCCAUCACGUCAGCAAGAUGGGUCAGGGAAUUAGGUGCCCUAAUGGCACAGAACCUUAUGCCACAUUUUUCAAAGAUAAAGUGAUCUUAUAGCCGCAUCCCAAAAUUUAUACCCAAGGUGGCCUCCCCAUUUCACCUAAAUCAACCCAUAUACUUACCUGCAUUUUUUCCAAAACCGCAUGCUGACCUCAGGGAGGCAUCACUUCACACACUAGAUGUUUGCAGAGCACUAGCUUUCUACCUAGAAAGGACAAAAACAUUCAGGAAGUCAUCUAGACUAUUUCUCUCUAUAACAGAAUGUUCCAAGGGUCAAACUAUUUGAAAACCAAGAUUGUCUAAUGGGUAUCAAGGUGUAUCCAUUUGUGUUACCAAAACAACAAUCUACCAGCUCCGCCAGGAGUUUGCAGUCACUUGACCAGAGCAUUAUCAAUAUUGGUGGCCUUUCUCAAUAAUGUACCCAUCAUGGACAUUUGCAAAGCAGCCAGCUGGGCAUUUGCCCAUACUUUUACUAAACAUUACACGUUAGAACAGCAGUCAGCUGGAAAUGCUCAGUUUGGACUCUCAGUGCUAUCUGUGGUCACUGAACCAAUUCCGAAGCCCCUCCCCUCCACUGAGGGGCUCUGUUCAACAGUCACCUAAAGUGGAGCACCCACAGGGACACUCCUCGAAGAAGAAGAGAAGGUUACUCCCCUUGUGCAGUAACUAAGGUUCUUUGAGAUGGUUGUCUCUGUGAGUGCUCCACUACCCCCCUUCCUCCUCUCUACAUCGGAGUUUCACAUUGAUUCUCUAGGGUGGAGAAGGACCUGGAGGAUGGUUGCCUGUGCACAGUAGGUGAGUGUUCGGGGUGAGAAGGCACUGCUACUACAAAUAUCUGAUUACAAGCAUAGUGCACCGAAACACCUAACGUGGAGCACCCACAGGGACAGCCAUCUCGAAGAACCUCAGCUGCUGCACAAGAUGAGUAACCUUCUCUUUUUGCUUCCACUGAUCCUGGUAUUAGCUGGGAGCCAAACUACCUACCAGUGCAAGUCAGAACAUCCACAGGGCUUCUGUAACUUACACUAGCAAGAAUGGUCCCUAGCACGCCCCUUUACAGCACACACAUAAAGGAAGCAAUGUCCCUUUUGUACUGCUAAACCAAUGGGUCUGGGCCAAGAUCUUUCAUGUUGUCCAAUUUUGCUCUUCUGAACUGCUGUCCUGUUCCCUUGUACGAAGACUUUCAUUGUGCUCAUAUCUGGAUUACAGACUAAAACCAUUGACUCAAAGGAGAAUAUAAGAAUAUAGAGCACUUCAUGUAUCAUGUAAAUACUGCAGGGAUCUCUAAUAUUUUAAAAAAUUGUUUUUCUCUUUAAGAUUUCAAAAAUGUCAAAUGUGUAAGAAGACAUCAGAGAGAGUGUGAAAAGUAGAUAUUAGGUUCCCAAUUUCUGGUGUCAUUUGUUCUGAUGCAAACUAUAUCAUUAUUAUUGAUAGAUGCUGUCAGAUAUAAAGAAAAACUAGAUUUAAAAUGUACAGUGGGAUCCAUGUUAGUAAUUGAAACUGACACCACAGUGUUUAGAGAAUUCCACUUCUCCUUCUGAUAAGCACACAGGCCUAGUUAAUUCACUAAGUAGCCUUUAUUAAAUUAAGCAGAUGGUAAAUCACAUUUUUCUUUUCCCUUUCUUGCAUCAGACAAAGGUCAGGAAAAGGUCACUAAAAUUUCCAAUAGGAUUCAUGAUAUACAGGACACAUUCUGCUAAAUUUACUUCCAUGGAUUGUGUAGAGCCUGUUCUGUGUUACAGGGGAUAAUUUUCACGUUAUCUCAGCAUGGUGCAUUGCUAUUCCAGUAAUACUCUACUUCAGCAUUAUUGAUAUUAUUUGUGUUACAGUAAUGUCCAAAAUGUGCUUGAUGCUGUGUAAGCUAAAAUGAUGCACUGUACAGCAAGACUGUUAGCUUGUUUUUGUGUAUGUUUUAUAUUAACUUUUUACAUCCUACAAGAUAAUGAUUGUCUCUUGCACAAAACAUUCUCUGAAAUCAAUAGAAUACAUUUGUUGUACAUGUGGCUAUACAGGAGAAUUAUAUUUUCUGAUCAUACUAUUUCCCAAUAAAUGUAACAAGUUUUAUCCUUUCA